AGUGAAACUUCUGGGUCCUUUGGUGACUGUAGAUUUAACAUUUUAAGAAUUGCCAGAGUGCUUUCCAAAGUGGCUGUACCAGUUUACAUUCCCACUAGCAAAU
rnacentral:pre_miRNA from 1 species